UUAAAUAGCCACUGCUGGGAAUCCC
rnacentral:piRNA from 1 species